rnacentral:tRNA from 1 species
GGGAGUAGCUCAGUAGGUAGAGCGUCGGCUUCCCAAGCCGAAGGUCGCGGGUUCGAAACCCGUUUCCC